rnacentral:rRNA from 1 species
GACGAACGCUGGCGGCGUGCUUAACACAUGCAAGUUGAACGGAAAGGCCCUGCUUUUGUGGGGUGCUCGAGUGGCGAACGGGUGAGUAACACGUGAGUAACCUGCCCUUGACUUUGGGAUAACUUCAGGAAACUGGGGCUAAUACCGGAUAGGAGCUCCUGCUGCAUGGUGGGGGUUGGAAAGUUUCGGCGGUUGGGGAUGGACUCGCGGCUUAUCAGCUUGUUGGUGGGGUAGUGGCUUACCAAGGCUUUGACGGGUAGCCGGUCUGAGAGGGUGACCGGCCACAUUGGGACUGAGAUACGGCCCAGACUCCUACGGGAGGCAGCAGUGGGGAAUAUUGCACAAUGGGCGGAAGCCUGAUGCAGCAACGCCGCGUGCGGGAUGACGGCCUUCGGGUUGUAAACCGCUUUCGCCUGUGACGAAGCGUGAGUGACGGUAAUGGGUAAAGAAGCACCGGCUAACUACGUG